rnacentral:lncRNA from 1 species
UAUGUUGCAGAUGAGUGAAAUGUUUCUUGGGAUUUGAUGUUGCUGUACUGCAUAUGAUGAAAGCUACCUUGCAAAUGGACUCACUGAGGAUUAACCAUGGCAUAAAGAAUGAAACUGCUUGGAGGCUUUUCCUAGUGAUCUAGUUGAAUUUGGCAGUUAACUUCCUUCCUUCCCUUCUCGUUCUACCAAUUGGAUUUACCUGUUCCAGGCCAGCUCUACGACUGCACAGGCCUGUGCUGUCCCCUGGGAAGGGUCCUCCUGCCACGCUGGCUGCUGGUGACCUUGCAGGGAACAUGGAGCUGCUGACUGUCAUGGCACCAGAGGAAACAGGAAAGGAUGCAACAGCAUCACAAGCUGAGGUGGAAGGAGUAGAAAAAGCAGCAGCAACAGGGGAGGUGGAAAGCCCAGCGAGAACAGGUCUGUGUGGAAAGGUGGUCAUUCCUGAAGGAGCAAAGGUGGAAGUAUCAGAAAAAACAGAGGCAGAAAGAGAUGCUGAAGCGUUUGCCCGGGCAGCAGAAAGAAUUGCUGUAUCAGAAGUAGCCAAGGUGUUGCAGGCAGCAAUAGCUGAGCUCAAAAGGAAGAGGAAGAGCAUGUGGAUAAACCCAAGGAACACCACUCAGCAGGAGGAGGAUUGCGUGAAAGAGGGAGAGGUGAAAUGAAACCGAGAAGAGGUGGUGUUCUGGGUCAUACCUCCUAAUGAGGGGCUGGUACCUGACACUGUGACCACUCCUGGAACACAAUAGGGCACAGUCACAUCUCUUUUGUGACUGACUAUACCAUUAAAAAUAAAUAUAUGGC